AGCUCCUCCAAGAAUAGAGGCUUUCUCCAGAUUUAAAAAGUCAUAUUUAAAAUUCUUUUGAUGCUGCAUCAUAGCUUGAACAGCUGUCACCACGUCCAACUAGGAGCCCCAAAGGAUUAGAAGUAAAAACUUUGCUCACUGCAGAAAGAAAAGCUGUUACACAGUGGUGUUAAGCUGCGGUGCCUGACAGUAAGAGCUCUGGCUGGUUCCUCCUUAUCUCCCCUUGAGCUUCACGGCAUCUCCAGCUCUUACCCAAUCUGCAUAGCUUUCUGCCUUCAUGGCUUUCUCAUAUUUAUGGAAAUGCUUUCAUUUUUCUGCAGUGCUGCACACAAGACUCUCCCAGCACUCACCAACAAAGCUGCACGGUGUCCACCCUCAGGGCUCAGUUACAACUGCAGUCAUUCCCCUGUGAGGAUCCCCUCUGCAGAGCAGGAGCUGCAAAUCUCAGCCUGAACAAGACCAGAGCAAAGGGAAGCAAUGUUCUGUAGUACUCACAGAUCUCAGAAAGUCACUGCACUGAACAUUUGGCAUGCAUUUCCUUUCAGAGCCAUCUUUUAAUAUCAAGGAACAGGGAGAAGACUGCAAAACAGACCAGGCUGAUCAGGAGCUGGGCCAGGUUGCAGAAGCAGCCAUAGGUGAUGACCAAUGCAGCACUUGGAGAGCAACACGAGGUGGCUGAAAGGCAGCUUUGCUCAAGGGCUGCUCAUCUGGAGCAAGGACCUCUGCCACAAGUCCAACGCUUGGCCUUUCUCCCCCGUCUCACCAAACAGACCUUGCCCUGUGACCUGAGGGUUCCCCCAGAGCCCAGCGCUGCACGGCACUGGGACAUCCACCUUCCAGCCCCUUGUGGAAGAGAAAAGAAACUUUCCGUGUCCUCCCAGACUUCAUGCACGCCCCUCAGACCCUCAGACUGCCCACGACCCCCUCGCUCAGCUCAGCGCCCGCUGCCCGCGUUGCUGGUGGGCGGCUGCAGCAUUUCAACCUCCUCCAGCUGGAAAGUGUUGCCAGAGUGA
rnacentral:lncRNA from 1 species